UACGUAGGGGGCAAGCGUUGUCCGGAAUUAUUGGGCGUAAAGAGCACGUAGGCGGUUAGAUAAGUUGGAUGUGAAAGGCUACGGCUCAACCGUAGAGCGGCAUCCAAAACUGUUUAACUUGAGUGCAGCAGAGGAGAGUGGAAUUCCCGGUGUAGCGGUGGAAUGCGUAGAGAUCGGGAGGAACACCAGUGGCGAAGGCGACUCUCUGGGCUGUAACUGACGCUGAGGUGCGAAAGCGUGGGGAGCGAACAGG
rnacentral:rRNA from 1 species